ACAAUGCGGGACUAUACGUCUUGCAAUUGGAUUGAGAACAAUGUACAACUCUUAUCGAUAAGCCAUUGGAGGGCAAGUCUGGUGCCAGCAGCCGCGGUAAUUCCAGCUCCAAUAGCGUAUAUUAACGUUGUUGCAGUUAAAAAGCUCGUAGUUGAAGUGUGGGUGAUCGCUGUUGUGAGACUUCGGUCUCUCGACAGUAAGUCACCCCCUUCCAGUAUCCAGUAGUGGGUAUUCACUUACUUACUAUUGUGUGUUGGUCCUUUACUGUGAGAAAAUUAGAGUGUUCAAAGCAGGCGUUUGCUUGAAUAGAUUAGCAUGGAAUAAUAAUUGAAGGCUUUCGUGUUCGAUUUGAUUGGUUUGUUCAUGGAAGCAAGGUUAAAAGGAACAGUUGGGGGUAUUCAUAUUCACUAGUUAGAGGUGAAAUUCUCGGAUUUAUGGAAGAUGAAC
rnacentral:rRNA from 1 species